UACGAAGGGGGCUAGCGUUGCUCGGAAUCACUGGGCGUAAAGGGUGCGUAGGCGGGUCUUUAAGUCAGGGGUGAAAGCCCGCGGCUCAACCGCGGAAUUGCCCUUGAGACUGUAUCGCUUGAACACGGGAGAGGUGAGUGGAAUUCCGAGUGUAGAGGUGAAAUUCGUAGAUAUUCGGAAGAACACCAGUGGCGAAGGCGGCUCACUGGACCGUUGUUGACGCUGAGGUGCGAAAGCGUGGGGAGCAAACAGG
rnacentral:rRNA from 1 species